AACAAAAACAUGUCCUUUAGAUUUAUAAUUUAAGGUCUAAUCUGCCCACUGAUUAAUUAAAUGGCCGCAGUAAUUUGACUGUGCAAAGGUAGCAUAAUCAUUAGUUUUUUAAUUAAAAGCUUGUAUGAAUGAUUGGACGAGAUAAAAUCUGUCUCUUAAUUAAUUUAGAAUUUAAUUUUUAAGUUAAAAAGCUUAAAUUUUUAUAAAAGACGAGAAGACCCUAUAGAUCUUUAUUUAUUUAUUUUAUAGUUUAUUUGAUGAUUAAUUUAUUUAAUAUAAAAUUAUAAAUUUUAUUGGGGUAAUAAAAAGAUUAAAUAAAUUCUUUUUUAUAUAAACAAUAAUAAUUGAUUUUGUGAUCCAUAAAUAAUGAUUAUAAGAUUAAGUUACCUUAGGGAUAACAGCGUAAUUUUUUUAAAGAGUUCAUAUCGAUAAAAAAGUUUGCGACCUCGAUGUUG
rnacentral:rRNA from 1 species